UUUAUAAAAUAUAAAACAAAGCCAAUUUAAGCAUAUACUUUAAUUGGCUUUAUGGAUUAAGUGAUGGAAGUAUAAGAUAAUUUAAUGGAUACCGCGGGGUUAGAUGAGCAUGGUGUUAGACGCUAAGUUCCUCGAUUCUGGCCACACAAUGAAGAGCUCCAAAUACCAAAUCAACUGUUAUAGCCUUUUAACGCGAGUUUAUUAGAUUAU
rnacentral:misc_RNA from 1 species